UUUAUUAAUCAGUUUUCUUCUACUCAUGACAUAUUUAAGUAAAACAUAAGCGCUUCAUGUGUUUUUCAUGAUGAUAUAUUUAGGUAUGUAUAUAUUUAUUAAUGUGUGUAAGUGUGUGAGAGAGGGUAAGGGUGUGUUAGAAAAGGAAAAGAAUACAAUUGAUUCUUUUUUUAUUCUUAAAGGGAUGGGCCAAAAUAAGUGCUCUUGUUUUAGAAGAAUUCGGCUUGUUUAAACCCAAAACAAUCAUUGGUAUCUUCAGUCCUCCAGGGUUUUACCUUAGUUUAAAAAACUGCACUAAUGGAAAACUAAAAGCAACGCUGGAAGAUGGGCCAGGACAGAGAUUGAAUGAGGGAGUUGCAUAUUUUAGGGAUGUAUUGCUUGUAGAAGCAAGAAUCCUUAUUGCCUCCACUGUAAAAAACAUUACUUAUAGAGAAGCUGAAAAACUUCUCUAUCCAUUGAAAUAACAAUUAAAAAUAGCAUUGCUAAAGAGUAAAGAUAAAUAUAUAUAUAUAU